UGGUUUUAGGGUUCUCAGUGUUUCAUUGCCAUGGCAAGAAAGUCAAUUUGGAGAUAACUUCACACAGAAAAGGCAUGAACACUCGAGGUAUGGAAGUCACGGCCAACAGACUGGAUCUCAGCGUUCCCUUCCUGUCUUUUGUCCCAGGGGUCUGUCUGUGGCGUCCAUCCAGGUCGAACGCGCAGGAAAGCUUGCUUAAUAUGCAUUUCUGAGCGUCCUGGUGCUGAAGGAAGGAAUGAAUCAAUAGAACUCUGGAACAAAAGAAGAAUAGCAAGACAAUUUGGGAUUUCAAGACUCUAAUUAAGAACAAGGCUCGGCGCUGAGAGAGGAGGAGAGGGGCCAACAAGGGCAGAGUAAUGGUCUAAGAGAAACCACGCAGGACA